rnacentral:rRNA from 1 species
UACGUAGGGUGCAAGCGUUGUCCGGAAUUAUUGGGCGUAAAGAGCUCGUAGGCGGUCUGUCGCGUCUGCUGUGAAAACCCGGGGCUCAACCCCGGGCUUGCAGUGGAUACGGGCAGACUAGAGUUCGGUAGGGGAGACUGGAAUUCCUGGUGUAGCGGUGAAAUGCGCAGAUAUCAGGAGGAACACCAAUUGCGAAGGCAGCUCGCUGGGACGUGACUGACGCUGAGACGCGAAAGCGUGGGGAGCAAACAGG